AUUGAACGCUGGCGGCAGGCCUAACACAUGCAAGUCGAGCGGAGCGGCGGACGGGUGAGUAAUGCCUAGCAAUCUGCCUGGUCGUGGGGGAUAACGUACGGAAACGGGCGCUAACACCGCCUACUAUCACAUGAGUCUAGCUCGGAUUAGCUAGUUGGUGGGGUAAAGGCCUACCAAGGCGACGAUCCGUACCUGGUGUGAGAGGAGGAUGAGUCAAACUGGAACUGAGACACGGUCCAGACUCCUACGGGAGGCAGCAGUGGGGAAUAUUGGACAAUGGGCGAAAGCCUGAUGCAGCAAUGCGGCGUGGGUGAAGAAGGUCUUCGGAUUGUAAAGCACUGUAAGUUGGGAGGCGUUACCAACAGAAGAAGCACCGGCUAACUUCGGGCCAGCAGCCGCGGUAAUAC
rnacentral:rRNA from 1 species